rnacentral:misc_RNA from 1 species
CAGAGAUGGGAUGUGGAGGGCUGGCACUGGCCUCCCGGUACAACCACUGUGUCCUGGAUGGGAUUGCAGCUCGCGAUUUUGAGAAGAAUUUAGCUGCUUUAACUCGUGGAGAUGAAAUUGUGGUGCUGCCAAAUCCUGAUCGAACGGUCUUCAAAGCGAGGAACCCACCAAGAAUCACUCACCCACACUACGAGUACUCCACAGCUGCCUACGAGACAGACAGCUUAUUCACAGUUUGUGGGACGAGUGGCAUCAAUGUCAAGGAUUGGUCACCACAUAAUAAUAAGACUUGCUUGAUCUAUAUGUCCCCCAGAAGGAUUGCCAGCUUGAAGAAGGCAGCUCUCAAGGAUGGGAAAUUAGGAAAAUGCAGCAGUUUCCAAGUUG